rnacentral:rRNA from 1 species
GAUGAACGCUGGCGGCGUGCCUAAUACAUGCAAGUCGAGCGAACAGACGAGAAGCUUGCUUCUCUGAUGUUAGCGGCGGACGGGUGAGUAACACGUGGAUAACCUACCUAUAAGACUGGGAUAACUUCGGGAAACCGGAGCUAAUACCGGAUAAUAUUUUGAACCGCAUGGUUCAAAAGUGAAAGACGGUCUUGCUGUCACUUAUAGAUGGAUCCGCGCUGCAUUAGCUAGUUGGUAAGGUAACGGCUUACCAAGGCAACGAUGCAUAGCCGACCUGAGAGGGCGAUCGGCCACACUGGAACUGAGACACGGUCCAGACUCCUACGGGAGGCAGCAGUAGGGAAUCUUCCGCAAUGGGCGAAAGCCUGACGGAGCAACGCCGCGUGAGUGAUGAAGGUCUUCGGAUCGUAAAACUCUGUUAUUAGGGAAGAACAUAUGUGUAAGUAACUGUGCACAUCUUGACGGUACCUAAUCAGAAAGCCACGGCUAACUACGUG